CAACAGGGAUUGCCCCAGUAACGGCGAGUGAAGCGGCAACAGCUCAAAUUUGAAAUCUGGCUCUCGGGCCCGAGUUGUAAUUUGUAGAGGAUGCUUUUGGUGAGGUGCCUUCCGAGUUCCCUGGAACGGGACGCCACAGAGGGUGAGAGCCCCGUCUGGUUGGACACCGAGCCUCUGUAAAGCUCCUUCGACGAGUCGAGUAGUUUGGGAAUGCUGCUCUAAAUGGGAGGUAUAUGUCUUCUAAAGCUAAAUACCGGCCAGAGACCGAUAGCGCACAAGUAGAGUGAUCGAAAGAUGAAAAGAACUUUGAAAAGAGAGUUAAACAGUACGUGAAAUUGUUGAAAGGGAAGCGCUUGUGACCAGACUUGGGCUUGGUUGAUCAUCCGGGGUUCUCCCCGGUGCACUCUUCCGGCUCAGGCCAGCAUCAGUUCGCCCUGGGGGACAAAGGCAGCGGGAAUGUGGCUCUCUCCGGGGAGUGUUA
rnacentral:misc_RNA from 1 species